UACAGAGGGUGCAAGCGUUAAUCGGAGUUACUGGGCGUAAAGCGCGCGCAGGCGGUUCUUCAAGUCAGUGGUGAAAGCCCGGAGCUCAACUCCGGAAUUGCCAUUGAAACUGUAGAACUUGAGGAUGAGAGAGGUGAGUGGAAUUCCCAGUGUAGAGGUGAAAUUCGUAGAUAUUGGGAAGAACACCGGUGGCGAAGGUGGCUCACUGGCUCAUUUCUGACGCUCAGGCGCGACAGCGUGGGGAUCAAACAGG
rnacentral:rRNA from 1 species